rnacentral:rRNA from 1 species
GUAGUCAAGCGAUGGGGUGACGCAGGAAGGUAGUCCUACCGGUGAGUGGUAGUACCGGUGCAAGGGUGUGGCCCGUGGGGUAGGCAAAUCCGCCCCGCAUACAGGGUGAGGCCUGACGCAUAGCCGAAUGAGGCGAAUUGGAUGAUCCUAUGCUGCCGAGAAAAGCAUCGACGCGAGGUUCCAGCCGCCCGUACCCCAAACCGACUCAGGUGGUCAGGUA